rnacentral:rRNA from 2 species
GACACGGCCCAAACUUCUACGGAAGGCAGCAGUAGGGAAUUUUUCACAAUGGGCGAAAGCCUGAUGGAGCAAUGCCGCGUGACUGAUGAAGGUCUUCGGAUUGUAAAGGUCUGUUGUAAGGGAAGAAAUGGUAAAACAGGAAAUGGUUUUAUCUAUGACGGUACCUUACCAGAAAGCCACGGCUAACUAUGUGCCAGCAGCCGCGGUAAUACAUAGGUGGCAAGCGUUAUCCGGAUUUAUUGGGCGUAAAGGGUGCGUAGACGGUUUUGCAAGUCUGAGGUUAAACUUAGGAGCUCAACUCCUAAUCGCCUUGGAAACUACAAGACUAGAGUAUAGGAGAGGUUAGUGGAAUUCCAUGUGUAGCGGUGGAAUGUGUAGAUAUAUGGAGGAACACCAGUGGCGAAGGCGGCUAACUGGCCUAUCACUGACGUUGAAGCACGAAAGCGUGGGGAGCAAAUAGGAUUAGAUACCCUAGUAGUCCACGCUGUAAACGAUGAGUACUAAGUGUUGCCAUAAAGGCAGUGCUGUAGCUAACGCAUUAAGUACUCCGCCUGAGUAGUAUGCUCGCAAGAGUGAAACUCAAAG